rnacentral:lncRNA from 1 species
AGGACCCCCGGGCCAGGCGUGGGUAUAAAUGGCCGAGGCGGGCGGCACACGGGUCUCUUUGUGCACCCGCCCACACGGUUUGCCGUGUUUUCACCCUUCUUUGUUCUCCACCGGUCUGGGCAGGGUCUGAGGACUCCGGAGAGCAAGGCAUGGGUCCGCCUCGUGCCGCAGGUUCCUGGCCCACGCCAGCCGUACCCAGUAGCACAAUGGGAUUUGAGGACACACGCCAGCUGCCUACACCUGAAGAAAGGGUGAGCUCUGAGGACUUCACAGGGGCCCCAUCCCCUCACCUAGAUGAGGGCUAACCUUGGAAUCCAGACAAAGGUGGAAGUGACCUAGAUGUGACCUGAAUGAGCUAAUCAUCUAAUGAGAGCCAGCCCUUUGUCCUGCCCACAUGAAGGGCUUUGCUGCUACGCACUGACAAGUUGGACGGCUUUUUAUUGCUUUGUUGCCAGUUAUCUGAACAUGAGAGGCUGUAAGGUGUAAUCUGCGAGCCCUGCGCCCAGACUGAACCAGGGCCUCCCUUGAACAUGAGUAUUAGACAAAUGAAAUAAGAACUUAUCUUGCCCAGACUAUAUAAUGGCUUGGAAAUGCAUAGUUUCCUGAACGAUCUCAAUAAAAUACUUUUAAAAGUACUUAAAUAGACU